UGUUAUGCAAGAUUCUAGACUUCAGAAAGAAUAAAUUAUAAUUUGAUAUUUUUGUAACAAUUAGAGAUGUCAACGGGUCAGAUUCGGGGCGGAUUUUUAAAAAUCCGAACCCGAACCCGACUCCAAACCCGAGACCCGAGACCCGAACCCGAACCCGAACCCGAACCCGACGGAUUUUAAAAAUCCAUAUCAAACCCGAACCUGACAAAAAAUCCAAAACCCGAACCCGAACCCAAACCCGAAAUCGAAAAUUUGAACCCGAAACAAUUAUUUUUUUUUCAAUAUUUCAAAAUAUAUUAUAUUAAAUCUAAAUUUUUAAAAUACAGAUUCAAAUAUAACAUCAAAUUUGUAUAUAUAAAUUAUAUAUA
rnacentral:lncRNA from 1 species